rnacentral:misc_RNA from 1 species
AUUUUCGUGAAGUUAAAUAUUUAUAAAAGUGAAAUAGGAGAUGUUGGCUGAAGGUUUACUGCAAAUUAGGUUUAAUGCAAAUAAAAAAGAAUUCAAAAGAUACCAUUUUGUAAUUCGACACAAGUCUUUCCAGGAGACGUGGAAAAAGUAAGAGGUCUCAAAAAAAACAAGGUGGGCACCUAAAUAAACUGAAACAAGGCCAUAAGUGCAUCAAACUGUUAUGCUUGACUAAGUCAUGCCAGCCCAAGUAGAACUAUGCUGGACAGAUCUAAAGUCAAAUCCAAGUUCAGCUCACAGUUAUGGAGGAUAUGCCCUCUUACAUAUUCUACCAUAUUUUGUAUGCUUUGUCAUAUAAAAGGAGAUAAGAACUGUGAUAAACAAAAAAUAUGUUGCAAAUGAGAAAGAGAUACAUGGAAGCCACAUUGCUCAUAACUUUGGAUGGAUGCUAAAACCUCAACCAAUUAGGACCUUCCCAUGGGCACUGGCAUCAUGUGUAGCAAAUUUUUUCGUGGGACAUAUUCUAUAUAUGUUGAAAUGUUACAUGGGCAUAGGCAAUGCCAGAAGAUUUAAAGUGUCUGCUUCUUUAACCAUAUUCUUAGAUAUCAGAUACUGUAAUUGAGGAUCGUUUUGGUGUUGAGCAUGGAAGUGAUGAAUGGUAUGAAGCGUUGGAACAGCAUUUCAAGUGGCUUCUUCAGUAUAGAAUAAGCCCAUACUUUUGCAGAUGGGGAGACAGUAUGCGUGUUUUGACUUACACCUGCCCAUGGCCAGCUGAUCACUGGAAAUCAGAUGAAUAUUUGUCUGACCCAAGAUUGGCAGCAUAUGCUGUACCAUACAAUCAAGCAGUGUCUGG